GAAGGUUUUUUUUUUUGGGGGGGGGGGUGAGGGUUUCUUGAGAAAUUCUGAGAGUUAAAAAGUUGAAGAAAAACAAUUUUGUUUGGUUUCUUCAAUAGAAAAUUAGACAAAUUUUGAGUUGACAGUUUUGGUUUCUUUUUUCUUUGUUUUGAUCAUUUUUAGCGACAGAAGGAGGAUUCUAGGAUAUUUUUUGAGUUACAAUCGUUUUUCUUUUGGCAAAUAGUCGUGAUAUAUGCAAAAUACUUUGAGAAAAUGAAGAGGUAGUCACUUGGCCUUUGUUUUCCGUCCUUCUGUCGCUAGCGUUUCCAUACUUUAGUCGAGUUUUGGGAUUUUAUUCGGGGUCCUCCGUCUGCUGCUCGGAUCCUGUUUGUGGGUUAGAAGUUGAUCGUCUUGAGCUCGAUAUCUUGCUCAAACUUUAAACUAUUGCUUGUGUUCUUAUGUUUUGUGGUGGAUUUCUCGCUCUUCAGCUCAUUCACUCUCGUUCGCUUCCCCGAAGUAAGUAUAUAAUCGGCCUUGAGUUCGCCAGGAACUCGAUUCUUUCCUUGCAUCUCGGAGAGCUUUAAAGGCUCAAAUUUCUUCAUUCGAGUCAAUCCAAAAGUUCGGUGGACAAAUUUUUGAAGCCAAACUAGCAUGAGGAUUUGAAGGAAAUUGAACAAGAUCGAAGGAAGAAAGGCUCAAGUUUCUUCAUUCGAGUCCAUCCAAAAGUUCGGUGGACAGAUUUUUGAAGCCGAGAACUAGCAUGAGGAUUUGAAGGAAAUUGAACAAGAUAGAAGGAAUAGAAGAAUCUGGGUCAAAAGCUCAUAUUUGAUCUUAUAUUUGCUUUUGUUGUAUUUCAUUUUCUUUGGGCCUAAGCCUUGUAAAGUUUUCUUUAUUAUUAUGCUACAACUUAUGACAAGUACAAAUGAAGUGGGCCGAAGUCCCAAAACAGGUGGGUCCAAAUAUCGAUCCAGGUGGACAAAAAAUUCAGAUUUGGACCCAAUUCUCUUUC